rnacentral:snRNA from 1 species
GUGCUCGCUUCGGCAGCACAUAUACUAAAAUUGGAAUGAUACAAAGAAGAUUAGCAUGGCCCAUGCACAAGGAUGACACGCAAAUUCGUAAAGCGUUCCAUAUUUUU